CGUAGGCAGCGAGCGUUGUUCGGAGUUACUGGGCGUAAAGCGUGCGUAGGCGGUGUCCUAAGUUUGGUGUGAAAUCUCCCGGCUCAACUGGGAGGGUGCGCCGAAAACUGGGGUGCUGGAGUGUGGGAGAGGUAGGCGGAAUUCCUGGUGUAGCGGUGAAAUGCGUAGAUAUCAGGAGGAACACCUGCGGUGUAGACGGCUUACUGGACCAUGACUGACGCUGAGGCACGAAAGCGUGGGGAGCAAACAGGAUUAGAUACCCUGGUAGUCCACGCCCUAAACGAUGCAUACUUGGUGUGGGUAAUUCAUUUUAUCCGUGCCGGAGCUAACGCGUUAAGUAUGCCGCCUGGGGAGUACGGUCGCAAGGCUG
rnacentral:rRNA from 1 species